GUGCUCUCUUCGGUAGCACAUAUACUAAAACUGGAAUGAUACAGAGAAGAUUAGCAUGGCCCCUGCACAAGGAUGACAUGCAAAUUCGUGAAGCGUUCCAUAUUUUU
rnacentral:snRNA from 1 species